rnacentral:lncRNA from 1 species
UGAUCGAUAUCUCAAUGCUUGUUCAUUUACAAUGCACAUUCAUCUAAAGGUUUGUUGCAUCAAGAUACGUUAAUUAAUUGACCUGCGUUAAGUUAUAAUGAUCGAAGUUACCACUAUGCUACGUAAAUGUUCUGGGCGAAUCCUGCAAAUGCAGAUACACAUCGGUGACGUUCAGUGGGUGUGUGCAUGAGUUGCCAAAUGGUUUUUCUCCUGGUGGUCGUGGAAAAACGGUCAGCGCCAACGCGAGUUCUUAGCUCCCGUUCAAGGCUGUCCAGAGGGUGGAGCCAAAAUACGUUCUCGUAUAAAUACAAAAGCACGACCAUUCUCAGCUUCGUAUAAGAUAUUAGUAGAUUUAGUUUGUUUGCCGAUCACCGCCAAAAACCCACACCCUUCCAAAAUGAUGAAAUUGUUGGUUCUCGUCGCCGCCAUCUUGGCCGUUGCUUUCGCCGCCCCACAAUACUUAGGCGCCUACCCCUACGCCGCCGCUCCUUUGGCCUCCGGCUACCCCAUCCCCGCCCCCUACUCCAUUUACAGCCACUCCAUCGCCGAACAUGUUGAGCCCGUCGAGCAGUGGGGAUACAAAGUUGCCUUCUAAGCUUCCCCCAAAAUCAACCUCUCUCCUUCUUCAGCUGUGAUCUACUUUAGAACAAACUUAGCUAUUAAGUCACUUAUACCUGACGAUCAACACUCAAUCUCCGCGACAUGCCAGUCGCAUCCAAGUUACUCCUAGUUUAGGUUUUGGUUUUUUUAUCUUUAAUUUUGUCCUACUUUUUCCUUUUUUCUGUCUACAACAAUAAAACUGUAAAUCCGAAUGAUGGCUCUUGUAUUCUUUACAUUUCCUAAAGACAGAGAAAAAAACAUACCUUUCUACCGCCUCCGUAAUGGAUUCAGCUCAUCAAACCGAAUUUCGAUGUAUACUAUAAUUAUCACGUUUUUUCAAGUAAAAAAUAAUUUUAGUCACAUAUAUGAAUAUUGGUUCAUUGUUUAUAAAAAACAAUAAACAGUUCUUGAUACUUUUAAAGAUAUUUCAAUCAAUUUCAAAGUAAAUUUUGUGAGGCAAUUUUAUCUCAUUUAAAAUGUGUUUGCUGAACAAUUUAUCUGUUUGUUUCUUUCAAAUUUUGAAGUAUACUUAGAUCUUCAAGGGUGCAAAAAAAGUGCAUUUAAGAAUGAAUUUUUUAAGAAAAGCUCACGAACUUAUGAUGAUUCUUUAAACUAUACUGUAAAUGUUCCUUUUUAAUUGAAUGUUUCCUUAGUGUGAAAAAUGCACUAGUUGCGUGACAACAUUUCAAAUGCUUCUGCUGGCGCAUGAACGUGAAGUGAAUAGUUUACUUAAUGACUUGCAUUAACAGGGUUUUAAUUUUGGCCUGUCGAUGACAAGGAUAAUUUACAGCUCUGAGACAUUUUCCUCAUUCAGAUAUUUAACGUAAAUAAAGUUUGAAACAAACGAGUGAAAAUAUACAUCAAGCGUGUAUUUUUUCAACCCGAAAUUCAUUUUACCUUAAACGAAUACGUACGGUAAAAUAAAGAAAACUAGUGCAAGUCAUGCAUUGAAAUUUAUACAACGUUAUUUACCGCGAGUGAGCACUCAGUAAAAUUCUCGAUUAAUGAUAAUUUUUGCCUCGAAAAAGUGACAUAUUUUAAACACAUUGAAACCUUGAGAUUGAGAAUGGUAUACUUGUACUUUCACUGUAGGGUAAUCCUUUCCUUUCACUGCUUUUUAUCUGGAAGGAGAUUGAUAGCGACAAAAACUACAAUUGGUGCGAAUCCAGUACUAUGCGAAAUUUUCUCACUAAAGUAACACCACGCAACGCUGUUCCCAGGAUCUAAAACUGUAGGGAAAAAGGUCGUAUGAACACUUGAGCGUUACCAAAUUUAUUCUGAUCAUAUACAGAUUUUUGCCGUACUUUUGAGUUUUUUACUUCAUCCGAAAAUUUUUUGCGCAAUUCAAUCUAGUAAUUCUUAAAAUUCAAGGGAACAUAUUUGUAACUUCUCUCCAAAAGAGAUAUUUAUUCAAAAUAAAUUUGACAACGCUUGCAUUAGUAUACGGCGUUCUUCCUUAGCACGGCAAUAUUUCCUUCAAUCCAUGCCGCCAAAUGAUAAAAAUUGGGACUCUGACCGGCGAAAAUAAGCGAAAA